UGCAGGGACUGCUUUUUAGGG
rnacentral:misc_RNA from 1 species